ensembl:lncRNA
AGCAGCUCCAGUCACCGAAGUAUUCAAUUUGGGCUUCCAUUUUAUGGCAUCAGAAGUGGGAUCCAAAUAAGACCUUCAACAACUCUGAAGCCAGCGAGCAACUACGUGCUGGUACCCACAGGACCCAAGGAGCUCAGUGCUUUCUCAUCGACCUUGCAGUCAGCCUGAGUGCUGCUCUCUUUACAUGUUGAACUCUCCAACUUUAUCAUGCAUACCGAAUAAAAAAGGAAAAAGAAGGAGACAAAACCUAAAUGGAUAUAGAAAGAUGCAAAAGCAUUUAUAAUCAGCUACCAGCAACCCCAAUUCCAAGGAGCGGUGGCUGCACGGGUGCCGGAGGGCUACUCCACGUUCAAGGUCAGGAGGGGCAGCCCUGAGGAGAUACCCCUUGUCCAAGGUAAGGAGCAUUGGCUGUGCUUUGCUGGAGCAGCCAUGAAGAGAUACCCCAUGACCAAGGUAAGAGAAACCCAAGUAAGAUGGUAGGUGUUGCGAGAGGGCAUCAGAGGGCAGACACACUGAAACCAUACUCACAGAAAACUAGCCAAUCUAAUUACAGGGACCACAGCCUUGUCUAACUCAAUGAAACUAAGCCAUGCCAUGUGGGGCCACCCAAGAUGGACGGGUCAUGGUGGAGAGGUCUGACGGAAUGUGGUCCACUGGAGAAGGGAAUGGCAAACCACUUCAGUAUUCUUGCCUUGAGAACCCCAUGAACAGUAUGAACAGGAUACUGAAAGAGGAACUCCCCAGGUUGGUAGGUGCCCAAUAUGCUACUGGAGAUAGUGGAGAAAUAACCGCAGAAAGAAUGAAGAGAUGGAGCCAAAGCAAAAACAAUACCCAGUUGUGGAUGUGACUGGUGAUAGAAGCAAGGUCCGAU